rnacentral:rRNA from 1 species
CGAAUGCUGACAUAAGUAACGAUAAAGCGGGUGAAAAGCCCGCUCGCCGGAAGACCAAGGGUUCCUGUCCAACGUUAAUCGGGGCAGGGUGAGUCGACCCCUAAGGCGAGGCCGAAAGGCGUAGUCGAUGGGAAACAGGUUAAUAUUCCUGUACUUGGUGUUACUGCGAAGGGGGGACGGAGAAGGCUAUGUUGGCCGGGCGACGGUUGUCCCGGUUUAAGCGUGUAGGCUGGUUUUCCAGGCAAAUCCGGAAAAUCAAGGCUGAGGCGUGAUGACGAGGCACUACGGUGCUGAAGCAACAAAUGCCCUGCUUCCAGGAAAAGCCUCUAAGCAUCAGGUAACAUCAAAUCGUACCCCAAACCGACACAGGUGGUCAGGUAGAGAAUACCAAGGCGCUUGAGAGAACUCGGGUGAAGGAACUAGGCAAAAUGGUGCCGUAACUUCGGGAGAAGGCACGCUGAUAUGUAGGUGAAGUCCCUUGCGGAUGGAGCUGAAAUCAGUCGAAGAUACCAGCUGGCUGCAACUGUUUAUUAAAAACACAGCACUGUGCAAACACGAAAGUGGACGUAUACGGUGUGACGCCUGCCCGGUGCCGGAAGGUUAAUUGAUGGGGU